AUUGAACGCUGGCGGUAGGCCUAACACAUGCAAGUCGAACGGCAGCAGGCCGAACAAUCCCUUCGGGGUGCGUUUGGUGUUGGCGAGUGGCGAACGGGUGCGUAACACGUAGGAAUCUGCCCAACAGUGGGGGACAACCCGAGGAAACUCGGGCUAAUACCGCAUACGCCCUACGGGGGAAAGCGGGGGAUCUUCGGACCUCGCGCUGAUGGAUGAGCCUGCGUCGGAUUAGCUUGUUGGUGGGGUAAUGGCCCACCAAGGCGACGAUCCGUAGCUGGUCUGAGAGGAUGAUCAGCCACACUGGGACUGAGACACGGCCCAGACUCCUACGGGAGGCAGCAGUGGGGAAUAUUGGACAAUGGGCGCAAGCCUGAUCCAGCCAUACCGCGUGGGUGAAGAAGGCCUUCGGGUUGUAAAGCCCUUUCAGUAGGGAAGAAAAGCACGAGAUUAAUACCCUCGUGUGCUGACGGUACCUACAGAAGAAGCACCGGCUAACUCCGUG
rnacentral:rRNA from 1 species